UAAGGAAUAUUGGACAAUGGUCGCAAGACUGAUCCAGCCAUGCCGCGUGCAGGAAGACGGCCCUAUGGGUUGUAAACUGCUUUUGUACCAGAGAAAACCUAUCUACGUGUAGAUAGCUGAUAGUAUGGUAAGAAUAAGCAUCGGCUAACUUCGUGCCAGCAGCCGCGGUAAGACGAAGGAUGCAAGCGUUAUCCGGAUUCAUUGGGUUUAAAGGGUGCGUAGGCGGGCUUGUAAGUCAGUGGUGAAAUCUCUCAGCUUAACUGAGAAACUGCCAUUGNUACUGCAGGCCUAGAGUAUAGAUGACGUUGGCGGAAUAUGACAUGUAGUGGUUAAAUACUUAGAGAUGUCAUAGAACACCGAUUGCGAAGGCAGCUAACGAAACUAUAACUGACGCUGAGGCACGAAAGUGCGGGGAUCAAACA
rnacentral:rRNA from 1 species